UACGUAGGGUGCGAGCGUUGUCCGGAAUUAUUGGGCGUAAAGGGCUCGUAGGCGGUUUGUCGCGUCGGGAGUGAAAACCUUGGGCUUAACUCAGGGCUUGCUUUCGAUACGGGCAGACUAGAGGUAUGCAGGGGAGAACGGAAUUUCUGGUGUAGCGGUGAAAUGCGCAGAUAUCAGGAGGAACACCGGUGGCGAAGGCGGUUCUCUGGGCAUGAUCUGACGCUGAGGAGCGAAAGUGUGGGGAGCGAACAGG
rnacentral:rRNA from 1 species